GUUGGGAUAAGUUCUUGCUUGUAUAUCCUUAUUCUUUUUUUAUCAAAUUCCUACUUUGUAGCCGUCGCACAACUUCUUAUUUAUGUGGGAGCCAUAAAUGUCUUGAUCAUAUUCGUUGUAAUGUUCGUAAAUGGCUCAGAAUGGUCUAAAGAUAAGAAUUAUUGGACUAUUGGAGAUGGGUUCACUUCACUCGUUUGUACAACUAUUGUUUUUUCACUAAUUACUAUCCCAGAUACGUCAUGGUAUGGAAUUCUUUGGACUACAAGGUCAAACCAAAUAGUAGAACAAUGUCUCAUAAAUAAUGUUCAACAAAUUGGAAUUCAUUUAGCAACCGAUUUUUAUCUUCCGUUUGAACUCGUUUCCAUAAUUCUUCUAGCUUCUUUAAUACGUGCAAUUAUUAUGGCUCGGCAGUGUAACCUUAAAGCCUAA
rnacentral:rRNA from 1 species